UUGAUUUUUAUUUAGCACAUAUAAAAAACUUUGAAAAAAAGAAUGUCAAGAAAAACUUAUUUCUACUAUGAUUUAUUUAUUUACUGUUAUCUGUAACAUAGCAAUUAUUUAGUUUUUAUAUGUUGUACGUGAUAAAGAAAGUUCCAGCUUAUAAAACAAGCCUUUAUCAUUUUUGGCUAAAUUGAAAUGGAACGGAAGCCGCGUAAGCUAGGACUCUAAAUGGAUAUAAGAAAAAUACACAAUGCUUUUAGAAGAAUUACAAGGAAAACACAUUUUAUGUACUCACAUGAACGAUGAUGUCGCGUAAUCGAUAUAAAUUUCCGAUUCUUAUAACAGCUAGCUCGGUAUUUAUUUACUAAGAACUGGUUUCCACAUUAAAAAAUGAUUAAGCAUUGUUAAGGAAUUAUUAUAACUAAAUUAAAUUAUACUUUUAUCACAUUGGACUUGCGAACAAAUAAUUACUGUUUCAAAAAGAAAACAACUUGCGAUGAAAAUGCAAUUAUAACGUCUUGAAAUAAAUCUGACGUACAAAAAA